rnacentral:tRNA from 1 species
UAGCUUCGUUGGUAGAGCAUGGUGUUUGCGACGCCAUUGUUGUGGGUUCGAUUCCCAC